UGGGAAUGUAGCUCAGUGGUACAGCAAGUGCUUUUCAUGCAGAAGGUUGCAGGUUCAAUCCUUGGCCUCUCCAA